CCUACGGGGGGCAGCAGUGAGGAAUAUUGGUCAAUGGACGGAAGUCUGAACCAGCCAUGCCGCGUGCAGGAUGACGGCUCUAUGAGUUGUAAACUUCUUUUGUACGAGAAUAAUGGUUCUUACGUGUAGGGAUUUGAAUGUAUCGUACGAAUAAGGAUCGGCUAACUCCGUGCCAGCAGCCGCGGUAAUACGGAGGAUUCGAGCGUUAUCCGGAUUUAUUGGGUUUAAAGGGUGCGUAGGCGGGUGGAUAAGUUAGAGGUCAAAGGUCGGGGCUUAACCCUGUGACUGCCAUUGAUACUGGUAGACUGGAGAGCGGAUGAGGCAGGCGGAAUUAGUAGUGUAGCGGUGAAAUGCUUAGAUAUCACGAAGAACACCGAUUGCGAAGGCAGCUUGCUAAUCUGCAUCUGACGCUGAUGCUCGAAAGCGUGGGUAGCGAACAGGAUUAGAUACCCGAGUAGUC
rnacentral:rRNA from 1 species